GACGAACGCUGGCGGCGUGCUUAACACAUGCAAGUCGAACGGAAAGGCCCUGCUUUUGUGGGGUGCUCGAGUGGCGAACGGGUGAGUAACACGUGAGUAACCUGCCCUUGACUUUGGGAUAACUUCAGGAAACUGGGGCUAAUACCGGAUAGGAGCUCCUGCUGCAUGGUGGGGGUUGGAAAGUUUCGGCGGUUGGGGAUGGACUCGCGGCUUAUCAGCUUGUUGGUGGGGUAGUGGCUUACCAAGGCUUUGACGGGUAGCCGGCCUGAGAGGGUGACCGGCCACAAUGGGACUGAGAUACGGACCAGACUCCUACGGGAGGCAGCAGUGGGGAAUAUUGCACAAUGGGCGGAAGCCUGAUGCAGAAGCGCCGCGUGCGGGAUGACGGCCUUCGGGUUGUAAACCGCUUUCGCCUGUGACGAAGCGUGAGUGACGGUAAUGGGUAAAGAAGCACCGGCUAACUACGUG
rnacentral:rRNA from 1 species